GAUGAACGCUGGCGGCGUGCCUAAUACAUGCAAGUCGAGCGAACGGACGAGGAGCUUGCUGCUCUGAUGUUAGCGGCGGGCGGGUGAGUCACACGUGUAUCACCUCCCUAUAAGUCUGGGAUAACUUCGGGAAACCGGCUCUAAUACCAGAUGAUCUUUUGCACCGCGUGGUUCAUUAGUGAAUAACGGUCUUGCUGUCUCUUCUCGCUGGAUCCGGGCUGCAUUGGCUGGUUGUUAAGGUAACGGCUUACGAAGGGAACGAUGCGUAGCCGACGUGUGAGGGUGAUCGGCCACACGGGAACGUAGACAGGGUCAAGACGCCUACGAGAGGCAGCAGUAGGGUAUGUGACGCAAUGGGCGAAAGCAUGACGCAGCAGCGCCGAGUGAGAGAUGAAGGUCUUCGGAGCGUGAAACUCUGUUAUGAGGGAAGAACAGAUGUGUAAGGAACUGUGGACAUCUUGACGGUACCUGAUCAGAAAGCAACGGCUAACUACGUG
rnacentral:rRNA from 1 species